UUCGUGAUUCGAUCCUACGGGAGGCAGCAGUAGGGAAUCUUCCGCAAUGGACGAAAGUCUGACGGAGCAACGCGCGUGAGUGAUGAAGGUUUUCGGAUCGUAAAGCUCUGUUGUUAGGGAAGAACAAGUACCGUUCGAAUAGGGCGUACCUUGACGGUACCUAACCAGAAAGCCACGGCUAACUACGUGCCAGCAGCCGCGGUAAUAUCACCCG
rnacentral:rRNA from 1 species